AUGAUUCGAUAACACCGAUUACGAUAAUCUUUAGAUAUGUUGUUAAGCUUAUCAUUCGGAACAGCUUUCAGCUACACAUGUAACCACCGCUCAGCCUAUUCGGAUAUUCACAAAAAUCUUCAAUUCCAUUUAGUUUCCAUUACACUUCACACCCUACCAUAUGAGUGACCGUAUUUUUACAUAGCUCAAUCUAAACUUAACUCAUUGCUGUUAAUCGUCCUUAAUACAAAUAAAAAAAGAUAAAUUAAUAGGUUAUAAGUUUGGUUAGAUUAAUAUUUGCCAAACUAAAUGUACAAAGUAAUUCAGAUGUCCCAUAGGUGGCUGCACUGCACGAUGCGACGGAGGGAUGGCUGCACGUGUAUUGAGAACGAGGUUACAAUAAAGUUUCACUGGUCUCUCAGUGGCAGUUCCAGCUCGGCUCCAUCGUUGUCCUGUGACCGAGCAGGUGGCCAACUCGGUGGGGCUGAACAAAAUUGCAGCCAGACCACGGGUCAAUUUUCUGUAAUCGCUCCAUUUCACAGCCCUUAGUUGUUCCUCACACACUGCUAUUCCCUCUCCCAAGUGCACCUGCCGAACACAUGUUUGUCAAAGUUUAAAAGAAAAAGAAAGCCAACAUGUUUAUGCAAAUUUCUAAUCCAGGAAAAUAGGUAGAAAAAUAAUACAUAUAGUAACAUAUAUAUUACAGGUGCUUGAGUUUUGCGCGUGAGUCAAAAAUGCAUGUAGGUGUUGCGAAUCACAGAUGCUGAUCUAAAAAAGAAUGAUGCUUUUGUAUUAAAACGAGGAAGAAAUUAAAACAUAUCUUAAGGAAGAGAAAGUUUCAAAGGAACGUAAUAGAAUUUUCAGAUACAGAUAAAUAUAUUUAUUUAAAUACCACCAAACUUUUCUUCGCUCUAUCUAUUAAAAGGCGUAGCUACUAUCGCUCGAAAGUAUUCCACAUAAUUUAACUACAACAUUACACGCAGUUGGCAGAGAUUUCGUCUCGA
rnacentral:misc_RNA from 1 species